CACGUAGGCGGCCUAGCAAGUAGGGAGUGAAAGCCCUCGGCUUAACCGAGGAAGUGCUUUCUAAACUACUAGGCUUGAAUACUGGAGAGGGUCGCGGAAUUCCCGGUGUAGAGGUGAAAUUCGUAGAUAUCGGGAGGAACACCAGUGGCGAAGGCGGCGACCUGGACAGAUAUUGACGCUGAGGUGCGAAAGCGUGGGGAGCAAACA
rnacentral:rRNA from 1 species